UACGUAGGUGACCAGCGUUGUUCGGAUUUACUGGGCGUAAAGAGCGCGCAGGCGGUCGUUCAAGUCGAGUGUGAAAGCCCCCGGCUCAACUGGGGAGGGUCAUUCGAUACUGAUCGACUUGAAGGCAGGAGAGGGAAGCGGAAUUCCCGGUGUAGUGGUGAAAUGCGUAGAUAUCGGGAGGAACACCAGUGGCGAAGGCGGCUCCCUGGCCUGUUCUUGACGCUGAGGCGCGAAAGCUAGGGGAGCAAACGGG
rnacentral:rRNA from 1 species